AGUUUAAAAUUUCAUCCAUUUGUACGGUUAAAAACUGGUAUGGCUAAUAGAAUAAUCAAACAGUGACACAUGGCAUGCAUGUUUACCUCAUGCUGACGUACAGAGAUCAGUUUCUAACAGUGAAAAUUGAAAAUAAAAAUUUAACA
rfam:Gossypium arboreum cultivar AKA8401 contig_12762_1, whole genome shotgun sequence.